UGAUGCCAUGGGGACUGCUUGGGCCCCAUGUGGGGCCUCUUGUUCCUGCAGCCUCCAGAGCACAAAGUCCCAGCUGAAGAAAGAGACAAGGAAGUGAGGUGGCGAAUAAAGUUAGAAAGAGUAUAGGCUGGCUGAUAGAUUAGCUGAGGGACAGAAUAGAAAAACAUCCUGGACAGAAUGCAAAGUCAAAGGACUAGAUGAAACAAGGGGAAGAUGAUUCUGGGCAACAGGCACUGAGAAUAAUGAUGUCGAGAGGACAAGAGGGAAUGAUUGCUCAGAUAACUGUGGGAACUGACAGUGAAAUUCACCUUCCCUCCUCGUUCUGAGACAUCUUUCCUUCCAGAUCAGGCUUUCAUUGUACAAUUCAGAUUAAUCCAGUAAUCCAGUCUGCUGCUUAAGAAGACUCUUACAGGUCUAAGGAGGUACUUUUGACAACUCUGAAUAAAUCCAGAGGACAGAGAACAGGAUGUUGAGAAGACUGGAGACUGUCUUAUAUGAAGACUGGCUGCAGGAACCAAGGAAGACCCAGGGACCUGCUGUGUUGAGAGAGGCUUUGAUGGAGCCGGCUUGUGGAUCCCUGCUCCGGAUUUUCCAGCUGUCCCUGUCCUUUGCUCAGAGCGCAGGAUGCUGAGAUGGCUCGGUGAUGCAGAAGCUCUUUGAUGAAAGCAGCAGUGAAAAUGAGAAGACUGUCUGGGACCCCCACAACUGAAGGCCAGAGAGAUGUGGGUACCUUCUGGUCAGAUCCUGGGGUUCAACAUCCAGAACACUACUGUGUGCUUCUGUUGGCUGAGAGUUAAUGGGCCUGUGCACCAAAACUGUUUGGAGGUAUCCAUUCUUUCUCUUGUGAACAGUAAUAAAAUUUUGUUAAAUGCUA